UACUCAAAUGACAAUGUGCCUAACACCCUAACUCUCCUCAGUAUAUGGCAACAUCCUGAAUGAUUGUGGUGGUAAAUUUGGAUUUGAUAUUCUUUACAGGUCAGCUGUGAGGACUUGCAGAUUUCUUCCUCCCGUGGUCAGGGAAAAUAUGACUCCAUUUUUAUUUCAGGGGAUCCAUCUCAGGGCCCAGGUCGAAGGCAACGCCUGGGGAGGGUCCUCCGGAGUAGCAGCCUGGAUUCUGACCCAGACAUUUUCAAAUUCACCAAUCCCAAUGGAUUAGAGCAAGUUGAGGGCCGCAGUACUUCCCAAGGUUUGCCCAAACCUGGCCAUCUGCCCUCAGGUAACCCCAGUGUGGAACGGACCUUCUCCCUGCCUUCCAAUUCUACUCCUCCAAGCAGCUUCCUUUUGCCUUCCUAUCCCCUGACCUCUGUGUCAGGUUUGGUGCGGACCCCUACUCUGUCCCGCCGACAACGCACUGACUCCAGCCUCUCAAUGUCCAAUACUUGGCCCAACAAGAGAGAGAACAGCCCUCAUCGAAGAGACCCCAGCCCCUGGAGAAACAAUGCUGAUGAUAUCUCCUCCAAGGCACACAGUUUCACCAAGCUGGUGACACCUGUACCUCCCCCCAUGCCUGUGGCAGCAGUAAAGCCUGUGUUUGCAGUGUCUACCUCGCUAGAACACAGUCAGGCUCACAGCAGCCAGAGGUCCAGCAGACGCGACCAGAUCUUUCAGACGCCUGAGAGGAACCUCUGCCUAGAGCUGUCUGAUCCCAGUCGUCAGGAACAGGAAGAAGAGUCCCUAGAUCGCGAGGAGAUGCUGAAUUCACUACGAUCCCUGCGCUAUAGCGCCGCAAAGAAGCGAGCAAAAGUGAGCUUAAGUGGAUCAGACCCCGACAGCCCCGACUCAGCUGUGAGGCUUGAACCUGCCCUGGACUCCCCGUCCCAAACCUCCCCAUCUCUCACAAGUCCUCUGAGCGAGAGUGGGCUCUCGGGUGUGUGCUCUCCACCUACCCCUACAAUCAAUGGCUGCAGGACCAGCCCAGGAAACUCUGCAGUCAAACCUCGACCCUCACGAAGGGCAUCUACAAAACAGCCAACUGCUGCUACCUUGGAUCUCAUCCCUCUGCCAGGUAUAGUAGGAAUUAACAGUAACAGAGAUGUCUGUGUUACAGUAAUCAUGUAA
ensembl:lncRNA